CCUGGCUCGUUAUGAGGCUAGCUACAGGCUUAACACAUGCAAGUCGACCUUCAGCAUGGUCUUAGCUUGCUAAGGCCGAUGGCGACCGGCGCACGGGUGAGUAACGCGUAUCCAACCUGCCUUACACUCUUGGACAGCCUUCUGAAAGGGAGAUUAAUACAAGAUGUUAUCAUGAGUAAGCAUUUUCGCAUGAUUAAAGGUUUACCGGUGUAAGAUGGGGAUGCGUUCCAUUAGAUAGUAGGCGGGGUAACGGCCCACCUAGUCUUCGAUGGAUAGGGGUUCUGAGAGGAAGGUCCCCCACAUUGGAACUGAGACACGGUCCAAACUCCUACGGGAGGCAGCAGUGAGGAAUAUUGGUCAAUGGACGAGAGUCUGAACCAGCCAAGUAGCGUGAAGGAUGAAGGUUCUAUGGAUUGUAAACUUCUUUUAUACGGGAAUAAACGAAUCCACGUGUGGAUUUUUGCAUGUACCGUAUGAAUAAGGAUCGGCUAACUCCGUGCCAGCAGCCGCGGUAAUACGGAGGAUCCGAGCGUUAUCCGGAUUUAUUGGGUUUAAAGGGAGCGUAGAUGGGUUGUUAAGUCAGUUGUGAAAGUUUGCGGCUCAACCGUAAAAUUGCAAUUGAUACUGGCAGUCUUGAGUACAGUUGAGGUAGGCGGAAUUCGUGGUGUAGCGGUGAAAUGCUUAGAUAUCACGAAGAACUCCGAUUGCGAAGGCAGCUUACUAACCUGUAACUGACAUUGAUGCUCGAAAGUGUGGGUAUCAAACAGGAUUAGAUACCCUGGUAGUCCACACGGUAAACGAUGAAUACUCGCUGUAGGCGAUAUACAGUCUGCGGCCAAGCGAAAGCAUUAAGUAUUCCACCUGGGGAGUACGCCGGCAACGGUGAAACUCAAAGGAAUUGACGGGGGCCCGCACAAGCGGAGGAACAUGUGGUUUAAUUCGAUGAUACGCGAGGAACCUUACCCGGGCUUAAAUUGCAACCGAAUAUGGCGGAAACGCUAUAGCUAGCAAUAGCGGUUGUGAAGGUGCUGCAUGGUUGUCGUCAGCUCGUGCCGUGAGGUGUCGGCUUAAGUGCCAUAACGAGCGCAACCCUUGCCGAUAGUUACUAACAGGUUAUGCUGAGGACUCUGUCGGGACUGCCAUCGUAAGAUGUGAGGAAGGUGGGGAUGACGUCAAAUCAGCACGGCCCUUACGUCCGGGGCUACACACGUGUUACAAUGGGGGGUACAGAGGGCUGCUACCACGCAAGUGGAUGCCAAUCCCAAAAACCUCUCUCAGUUCGGAUUGAAGUCUGCAACCCGACUUCAUGAAGCUGGAUUCGCUAGUAAUCGCGCAUCAGCCAUGGCGCGGUGAAUACGUUCCCGGGCCUUGUACACAAGGGCCG
rnacentral:rRNA from 1 species